rnacentral:rRNA from 1 species
UACGUAGGGGGCAAGCGUUGUCCGGAUUUAUUGGGCGUAAAGAGCGUGUAGGCGGCCCGGUAAGUCCACUGUAAAAGUCAAAGGCUCAACCUUUGAAUGUCAGUGGAUACUGCCGGGCUAGAGUCCGGAAGAGGCGAGUGGAACUCCUGGUGUAGCGGUGGAAUGCGCAGAUAUCAGGAAGAACACCAACGGCGAAGGCAGCUCGCUGGGACGGUACUGACGCUGAGACGCGAAAGCGUGGGGAGCGAACAGG